rnacentral:rRNA from 1 species
GAUGAACGCUAGCGGCAGGCUUAAUACAUGCAAGUCGAGGGGCAACAGGGGUAGCAAUACCUGCUGGCGACCGGCAAACGGGUGCGGAACACGUACAGAACCUUCCUUUAAGUUGGAGAUAGCCCGGAGAAAUCCGGAUUAAUACCUAAUGGUAUUAUGGUGUGGCAUCACAUUAUAAUUAAAGCCUUGGCGCUUAGAGAUGGCUGUGCGUAUGAUUAGGUAGUUGGGCGGGUAACGGCCCACCAAGCCUUCGAUCAUUAACUGGUGUGAGAGCACGACCAGUCACACGGGCACUGAGACACGGGCCCGACUCCUACGGGAGGCAGCAGUAAGGAAUAAUUGGUCAAUGGACGCAAGUACUCGAAACCAGCCAUGCCGCGUGAAGGAUGAAGGUCCUCU